UUUGCUGUGAGCCAGAGUUAGUUGAAGAUAUAUUAUGUAAUGUAACAAUUUUCACAUAGUGUUAUUCUAUGGUUACCUAUUGACAACGACCGUGGUUUUUUCUUUGAUUUUGGAGUUUUCAUGUUAUGUUCUUGUGUUCCUCUUUUUUUCUCUAUGUUUUGUUUAUUUUUUCCAGCAACUGGUCUCAGAGCUUUUGGUUCGAUCCAUAGAUAAGUGUUCUUAA
rnacentral:lncRNA from 1 species